UACGAAGGGGGCUAGCGUUGUUCGGAAUUACUGGGCGUAAAGCGCGCGCAGGCGGUCUUCCAAGUCAGUGGUGAAAGCCCGGAGCUCAACUCCGGAACUGCCAUUGAAACUGUUGGACUUGAGUACGAGAGAGGUGAGUGGAAUUCCCAGUGUAGAGGUGAAAUUCGUAGAUAUUGGGAAGAACACCAGUGGCGAAGGCGGCUCACUGGCCCGAUACUGACGCUGAGGCACGAAAGCGUGGGUAGCAAACAGG
rnacentral:rRNA from 1 species